CCUGGAGAUUUAUUUAAUUUCAUUUUAAAGAUACCAUAUGUGCAUUCCUCCACUGUAAUUUUCCCAUCGCAUAUUAGUUUGUCAUUUUCAUCAACGGUAUUUUCUAAUUUUGUAUCGCUGAUAUAUUCUUCUGUUAAAUCUUUAUUUAAACUUUUUUUGUUAUACAAGUUUUCAUAAUAAUCUUUUAUUUUAUUUAAAAGUUUCUCUUGAUCCGAAAUUAUUUCCCCAUUAUCUCCCAUUAGCUUACUUAUAGAUUUUUUAACUUGUCUUUUUUUUCUAACCCAAGGAAGUAAGAAUUAUUUUUUUCACCAAACUCUACCCAUUUUUCUCUAGAUCUCACUUGAGCUCCCUUCGCUUUUUCAUCAUAUAUCUUAUUUAGCUCUUCUUCAAUACCAUUAAUUUCUUUUUCUAUUUCAUCGUCAUCUAUAUUUGUCUCGUCUCUUAAUUUUAUUUUUUCUUCUAAUUCUUUUUUCCAGAGUAUAUCUUCGUCCCCUUGUUAACUUUGCUUUAUUUUUACAAUAAUUUGUGGUUACUUCCCUUACCGCGAUUUUAAACCCAUCCCAUAAUAAUCUACAAUCUAAUGUUUCCUUUUCGAAAUUAUAUUUAUCUAUCAAAGUAUAAAUCAGUUCUUGGUAAGCUUUAUCUUGCAAUACUGAAUUGUUAAUUUUCCAAUACCCAUUGCCCCUUUCUGAUACCCCUGGCUUAAAUUUUAGAAAUACGCUUUGGUGGUCAGUAGACCGAAUAACAGCUGGUUUGAUUUUACAAAAUUCUACCAGUGGUAAAAAAUCUGACCCAAUAAAAAUCAUGUCAAUCCUACUAGCUUGUGACUUAUCUCUUCUUCUCCAGGUGAAUUGCUGUUUAUUUUCAUUUAAGUUUCUCCAUAUAUCUGUUAGUUUGUUAGAUUUAAUCAAGUUUUUUAAACCAUGUACAGGUUGAGUAAAUU
rnacentral:lncRNA from 1 species